UUUCCGUAGGUGAGCCUGCGGAAGGAUCAUUAUUGGAUUUUGAAACUUCAGGCUGCUGCUGGCUCUCCUCGGAGGGCAUGUGCACGCUUGUUGUCCAUUAUUUCUCCCACUGUGCACAAAUUGUAGACCUUUCAGUAGGCCUAUGUUGUUUUUCACAAUCUCUGAAUGUAAUAGAAUGGUUUUGAAUCUUGGGAAAUACAAUACAACUUUCAGCAACGGAUCUCUUGGCUCUC
rnacentral:misc_RNA from 1 species